UACGUAGGCAGCGAGCGUUGUUCGGAAUUACUGGGCGUAAAGAGUGUGUAGGCGGUGCUCUAAGUUCGGUGUGAAAUCUCCUGGCUCAACUGGGAGGGUGCGCCGGAAACUGGAGUGCUUGAGCGUGGGAGAGGAAAGCGGAAUUCCUGGUGUAGCGGUGAAAUGCGUAGAUAUCGGGAAGAACACCCGUGGCGAAGGCGGCUCUCUGGGACGGUACUGACGCUGAGACGCGAAAGCGUGGGGAGCGAACAGG
rnacentral:rRNA from 1 species